rnacentral:rRNA from 1 species
UACGUAGGGGGCAAGCGUUAUCCGGAUUUACUGGGUGUAAAGGGAGCGUAGACGGCAAUGCAAGUCUGGAGUGAAAGGCGGGGGCCCAACCCCCGGACUGCUCUGGAAACUGUAUAGCUAGAGUGCAGGAGAGGUAAGUGGAAUUCCUAGUGUAGCGGUGAAAUGCGUAGAUAUUAGGAGGAACACCAGUGGCGAAGGCGGCUUACUGGACUGUAACUGACGUUGAGGCUCGAAAGCGUG